UACGUAGGGCGCAAGCGUUAUCCGGAAUUAUUGGGCGUAAAGAGCUCGUAGGCGGUUUGUCGCGUCUGCCGUGAAAGUCCGGGGCUCAACUCCGGAUCUGCGGUGGGUACGGGCAGACUAGAGUGAUGUAGGGGAGACUGGAAUUCCUGGUGUAGCGGUGAAAUGCGCAGAUAUCUGGAGGAACACCGGCGGCGAAGGCGGGUUCCUGGGCCUUAACUGACGCUGAGACACGAAAGCUAGGGGAGCAACAGG
rnacentral:rRNA from 1 species